rnacentral:lncRNA from 1 species
AAGGUUAAUUUAAAGUGUGGCAUAUGCAGAGAAAGCAAAAAAAGAGCUAUCUUAACAGCAGAGUGGUGCUAUAGACCACAGCGCGUCCCACUCCGGAUGCCCCGAAAUCUCAAGUAAUUUCAUGGCACAACAUUAAUAGCAGUAUUUGUUUGGGCCACACAAUUUACCAGGCUAAGAACAAAACUGAAUGCCAAUGUACAUAG